AGUGGAAUGGAUAGGUCAUAGGGUAGGUGUAAGUUUAGUUUGGAAAGAAAUUGUCAAACCUUUUCCAAAGCAGCUGUACCAUUUCCAGUCUCCUCGGCAA
rnacentral:pre_miRNA from 1 species